rnacentral:tRNA from 1 species
CCAUUUUCAAAAUUUAGUAGCAUGACUGUUAAUCAUGAUGUCACUGGUUCGAGCCCAGUUGGGGGAGCCA